UUCUACACAAUCAGAAUGAGAGGUGGAGUCCAUGGUUUCUACCAUAAUAAAAACCCCAUCCUGGAUUGAACGCAAUCAGUAUGAGAGGUGGACUCCAUGGUUUCUAUCAUGCGCUGCGGUUUCCGUCGUAAGUCGUCCGGUCUAUGUUCUCCCAUUCAGAGGUUGAGAGAUGUGCAUUCGGACUGCUCUAAUACACCCUUCGAUUAGGUGGAUGAAGUCGUGAAUGUUGAUGUCAGCGAUUACCGAGUGUUCAUAGAGGCGGGACAACUGUAGGCGGCAUAAACCGGGAUUGAAAAUAAUACUGCUUUGGGAGUGUAUGGGAUGACUGAUGCGGAUGCAAAAGUAAUAUUGUUCUGGAAGUGCAAAGUACAUGUCCCCGUACCGCAGGCGCCCCAUGGAGACCGGUCUGUGCAGAGUCGUAGCAUUUGGUUUCUGUCCCAACGAAAAUGUAGAAAAGAGCAUCUUCAAAUUCGGUUGAAUAUCCCAAUUUGAUCAAGCAGCUCCAUGUUCCUUCCAGCACGUCGUCAUGUUGAAUCGGUUAGUAAAAAAUCGUAGUUCGUUCAGCCUAUAUUGGUUUUAUGACGUAAGGUUGUUUUAUUCGAGUCUAUCAAUCUCCACCACAAUCGUGAAACAAUACACGAAACAGAUGAUCCAUUUCAUUCUCGUUGAUUCCUUUUCAACAUUAAAUGUUUUCCAAAUGUCCGCUGCGCAUACAGAACUAACAUUCUAUUAAGUUAUCGUAGUUGGUUGUAAAUAUGUAAAGGAGCAUGUGUUGCCGAUCACAGUUGCUCGCAUAAAUUUUCCGGAAACAUGUUUAUCUCAACGAAAGAAAAAAUUUUGGAUAUCGUACGGCGUAUCAGGCAGGGAUGAUAUAGAAGUAAAAUGGAUAAAGAGAGAAGAUCCUAUUGUUUGUUUGAAGGAAGGUCGUUAAUGAGUUGUGGAGUUGUUGGAGCUAAAGCAACAAUAUUUCGUUGUUUUUAAGUGCAACGGGGAAUUUAAAUUUAAAUUCCUUGUGGUCCGUUCGAUUGACUCCGAGAUUGAUUAUUCAAGUUUCACAAGUUUCCAUCACGGUGACCACCGUAUGGGAAAUAAAUUUCCGAUUCAUUCGGGGGGUUUUGUAUAUGGAAACUUCUGAAACUCGAGUAAUCAAUUUAGGAAGCAUUCGAACGAAUCACGUUGGAUUUAAAUUUAGAUUCUCCUUUGUACUUAAAUGCCACGAGAUACGGUUGCUUUAGUUUUAACAACUCCACAACUCCUUUCCGACGUUGAUUCAAACGAGCACUAUUAUUUUAUUUCUUGAUCCAUUUUACUUCUAUUUCAUCCCCGGUUGGUAGGUGUAAUGAUGUUGUCAACCAUAGGCAUUUCGAAAUGUUAUCUUUAUAAAACACAGGCUACUUCGUCAUAACUGCAACACUUGGCCACUUAAUUAAUAACCGGUACGUUGUUAGCACGGUAUUAACAACAUCAGUUACUGUUUACGUUGACUAGGUCGUUGUAACGUACAUUAGAAUAGGAAGUUGGAGCAAUUGCAUAAUUUUUGAGUUGGAAUAUGCUUUUCUUUGCAUGGGUAACGUCAUAUGAAUCUGAACGUGAUUAAUUUUUCUGUAACAUGCAUGAUUUUGCUGAACAACUGUUGUGGAGGAGGAACACAAUCGGGGAUAAAAAACAUGCUGCGGAUGGAGACUAUCUUACUGGAUCAGACGACGAAUAUUGUGAAUUUUAUGCCUUCAUUUUGUUGAAUCUUGUACGUAGCAGCCUUGUUUCAUGUUAACAAACAUGACAGACGGGGUUCGACAUUCUUCGUCAGCUGAAAUGCGGCCGGAAAGGUGGUUGCUGAAAGAUCUUCUCCAAUUCAUCACAGAAUGUUGCCUCUAUAAAAGAAACUUCUGUUUCCUAUAAAUGUAACAACCGAGCUGUACAGAAUCUAUAUGUAAUUGGACUUCGCUUGAAUGAAGAAAUACAGUCUCAAUCGGAUGCAUGAAUGUCAAUAAUCUAACGAUCAUUGCAGUGCACUAGUUUUUUAACUUGGAAAAUUGUUGUCAUGCCACUCCUUUUCCUCAUUUCCAUUUCAUCAAGUCUCGUUUUCUACUUCCCAGUAGGGUUGAGAGAUGAAUUAAACCUCUUAAUGUACUUUGUGCUAUACAUUUUCAUGUCUCUUUUAGCAAGUGAAGCAGUUGUGUUUGUCAUGGAAGUUGUUUAUCGUUUUGCUGUGUUCAUUUUUUUAUGCAGAUAAUAAUCUCUGCGUUUUAGCUGUAGGUGUCAUCGAGUGGGUACGGAAUUUAGUAGUA